GCCUCGAUAGCUCAGUCGGUAGAGCAGAGGAUUGAAAAUCCUCGUGUCGGUGGUUCGAUUCCAUAUUUGGUGCA
rnacentral:tRNA from 1 species